ACGUACGGAACAAUUCAUGGCCACUGAUAGCAGAGCUUUCUCCCAAAUUAUUUUUAAAAAGGUGACUGAUUUCCUUCGAUAAAUACCCAGUUUAAACUUAUGCUUCACCCCACAGGCAAACAUUUCAACAUGGUGAGAACACUGGUCGUGUUUGCAUGGACCUUGGCGGGACUCUGUGCUCUGUCUCUGGCUGUCGGGUAUGACCAGUGCGACAAAAGCAUCUCGGACAGGUGCCCAUCAGUAGACCCAGGCACUCCCGUCUAUUACCCGGUCCCU